rnacentral:miRNA from 1 species
UGGGGGCGGUGGGGGGCGGGUCUGCAGGCGGGGUGAGAGCAGGCAGCGGCGGCGCUGCGGU